rnacentral:rRNA from 1 species
AUGAACGCUAGCGGCAGGCCUAAUACAUGCAAGUCGAACGGGUGGUAGCAAUACCACUAGUGGCGCACGGGUGCGUAACGCGUAACCAACCCGCCCUUGACUGGGGGAUAGCCCGCCGAAAGGCGGAUUAAUACCGCAUAAACUCGCAGUGUGGCAUCACACAACGAGUAAAGAUUUAUUGGUCAAGGAUGGGGUUGCGUGACAUUAGCUAGUUGGCGGGGUAACGGCCCACCAAGGCGACGAUGUCUAGGGGACCUGAGAGGGUGAUCCCCCACACUGGCACUGAGAUACGGGCCAGACUCCUACGGGAGGCAGCAGUAGGGAAUAUUGGGCAAUGGGCGAGAGCCUGACCCAGCCAUGCCGCGUGCCGGAUGAAGGCCUUCUGGGUUGUAAACGGCUUUUCUCAGGGAAGAAAAAGACCAUGCGUGGUACACUGACGGUACCUGAGGAAUAAGCACCGGCUAACUCCGU